rnacentral:lncRNA from 1 species
AGCCGCCCUCGUCCCGCCCCGCCCAGGCCCCGCCCCCCGGAGCCCCGCCCACGCCCCGCCCUCGACCCGCCCCCCGAGCCCCCGCCCUCGACCCGCCCCCCGAGCCCCCGCGCGCAGACCCCGCCUCCGACGCCCUGACCCGCGGGGCCCCUCGGGGGCGGGGCCGGCCUCCUGCGCAGGCGCGGCCGCGGGGUCGCCCGUCAGUGACGUCACAGGCGGCGCGUCAGACCCCGCGCCCCGAGCCCGGCUGCCGGCUGGAACCUGCGGGUGCGGCGUCCGAGGGGCGCGGCGACGGGGACGGGGACGGGGACGGGGAGGCCCGCGGAGCCCCCGGCGGUCGGAGGGACGCGGAGGCCGAGACGCGGGGCCGCCCCGGCCCGGCCCGGGAGGACCCGAGGAUGAAGGAUCCUGCCGCAGGUUUAUUUGUACAAACAGCACAGGAGGACACCAGGCCCGUGUACACGGAAGCCCAGCACUGGAGCCUCGGUGGGGGCCUGGGCACCUUUGGGAGCCUGCACUGCUGAGGAGCAGCUCCUCCUGACGCCAGUGGGGCUCCGCAUGUGGGCUGCGAAGGCAGUUCCAAGUGACCCGGGAAGGGCUGUGACCUGAGAGGCGACACAGCCGCGGAAAUGCAGGGGGUUGCACGUCAGGACAGACGGACCUUUGCAACGAUGAGCUUUGAGGAGCUCCCUGAGGUCAGGAAGUUGUUGGCCACAGGGGUGGGAAGCAAGCAGGCAAGCGGCGCACGGGCCGCGUGGGCUCUGCCCAGGUGGGGCGCGUGGGGAGCACAGCGCUGACUGGGCCACCUGACGGGCCCCGGGAGUAAAGCCCAAGAGGCCGGGAACUGCUGCUUCUUCCCCCGGCUUCAGCUGGACCCCAGGCGGGAAGGGCCCCUCCCUUCCAUGACGCCCGAGUCCUCAAGCAUCCCUGAGGGACCUCGACUCAGCGGGGGGCAGACCCUGUUGCUCAGUAAUGUCUGCUGACAUCUUUCCCCCCAAGGGUCCUCCAGCACCAGGCUCUAAGGCGACGGUACCCUCCCGGUCCUGGGAGAGAACCCGGAGCCCUUACCACAAGUCUGCAGGUCUGCAGGUGUGGCCACGGGCAGGCUCCAGGGUUUCUGUGCAGUCCUAGGAGCGGUCAGAGCAUCCCGCGCUCUGGCCCCCGCAGUUCCUGAGGUCCCGGGGUCCCCACCGUGCAUGGGACUCCCUGCCCGC